rnacentral:rRNA from 1 species
UACGUAGGGUGCGAGCGUUAAUCGGAAUACUGGGCGUAAAGCGUGCGCAGGCGGUUUUGCAAGCCGGAUGUGAAAUCCCCGGGCUCAACCUGGGAAUGGCAUUCGGGACUGCAAGGCUGGAGUGCGGCAGAGGAGACUGGAAUUCCUGGUGUAGCAGUGAAAUGCGUAGAUAUCAGGAGGAAUACCGAUGGCGAAGGCAGGUCUCUGGGCUGACACUGACGCUCAUGCACGAAAGCGUGAGGAGCAAACAGG